rnacentral:SRP_RNA from 1 species
GCCGGGCAUGGUGGCUCAUGCCUGUAAUCCCAGCACUUUGGGAGGCUGAGGUGGGUGGAUCACCUGAGGUCAGGAGUUCGAGACCAGCCUGACCAACAUGGUGAAACCCCGUCUCUA